UUUAUUGGAGAGUUUGAUCCUGGCUCAGGAUGAACGCUGGCGGCGUGCCUAAUACAUGCAAGUCGAGCGAAUGGAUUAAGAGCUUGCUCUUAUGAAGUUAGCGGCGGACGGAUGAGUAACACGUGGGUAACCUGCCCAUAAGACUGGGAUAACUCCGGGAAACCGGGGCUAAUACCGGAUAACAUUUUGAACCACAUGGUUCUAAAUUGAAAGGCGGCUUCGGCUGUCACUUAUGGAUGGACCCGCGUCGCAUUAGCUAGUUGGUGAGGUAACGGCUCACCA
rnacentral:rRNA from 1 species